rnacentral:rRNA from 1 species
UACGUAGGGUGCGAGCGUUGUUCGGAAUUACUGGGCGUAAAGCGCACGUAGGCGGAUAUUUAAGUCAGGGGUGAAAUCCCAGAGCUCAACUCUGGAACUGCCUUUGAUACUGGGUAUCUUGAGUAUGGAAGAGGUAAGUGGAAUUCCGAGUGUAGAGGUGAAAUUCGUAGAUAUUCGGAGGAACACCAGUGGCGAGGCGGCUUACUGGUCCAUUACUGACGCUGAGGUGCGAAAGCGUGGGGAGCAAACAGC